rnacentral:rRNA from 1 species
UACGUAGGCAGCGAGCGUUGUUCGGAAUUACUGGGCGUAAAGAGUGUGUAGGCGGUGCUCCCAGUCUGUUGUGAAAUCUCCCGGCUCAACUGGGAGGGUGCGCCGAAUACUGAAUGACUAGAGUGUGGGAGAGGUGAGUGGAAUUCCUGGUGUAGCGGUGAAAUGCGUAGAUAUCAGGAGGAACACCGGUGGUGUAGACGGCUCACUGGACCAUAACUGACGCUGAGACACGAAAGCGUGGGUAGCAAACAGG